UAAAAAACAAGGAAAAAGGAUUAGUACAUAUUUUACUCUUUUUCAGAGAGAGAAUCGGUUUGGCUGUGAGAUUCUUAUUGAGCGAUAUGGAACCUACCUUUGAGUUUCUGCUUGCGCAGCGGGUGAAGCCCGUUAUCAAAUAAGAGAGCAUAUACAUGUUGUAUAUGAAUCAGGGUGGUAACGCCGAUAAAAGCUCGGUCCCUAUU
rnacentral:ncRNA from 1 species